AGCGCAGGCGGGAAACUAAGCGGAUCUUAAAAGUGCGGGGCUCAACCCCGUGAUGGGGUCCGAACUGGUUUUCUUGAGUGCAGGAGAGGAAAGCGGAAUUCCCAGUGUAGCGGUGAAAUGCGUAGAUAUUGGGAAGAACACCAGUGGCGAAGGCGGCUUUCUGGACUGUAACUGAUGCUGAGGCUCGAAAGCUAGGGUAGCGAACG
rnacentral:rRNA from 1 species